UGACCCAUCUUCCAGCACAGUAGGUGGCGGUAAUGCACCAUUAACGCUGGAGGCCAAACGUCGAUUAAUCCCACCGAAGAAGAACUGCUCAUUGUCGCGCAUGCGUUCCUCGAUGUAUGCCAAGGCACAAAAGUGGCGCUAUAUCGUUUCAACCUCUACUCAGGUAAGAAUGUCCAAUACCUUUUGUACAAUUUUACGGGUAAUUAGUCAAAGUUUCAACAACUAGCUAUGGUGUAAGACAGAUGUCCACGGACUUCCCGUGUCUCCUGAUAUGUUUUAAAGUGGUAGCAGCCUAAAUGAUGGAUGGGGAACACCAGGAAGAGAAGCCUUCACAUGAGAAAGAAAAUGCUCUACACAAUGAAGAGAAGACUUCAUGUGAUGUGGAGAAGACUUUAUGUGACAUGGAGAGAGCUUUGUGUGACAUAAAGAAGAGUGCUGAAGAGAGCAUUUCAAGUAAUGAGGAGAACAGUUCAGAUGAUGAGGUUGGACAAAGACUGGAUUCAAAAGUCCCAAGUGGCUCAGAGCCUCUUCCAUCUAAUGCAGAACACCCCUGCGAUAAUGAAUCUGAGCUGUUGCCACAAAAAACCUCCCAAGCUAAAAAACCUCAACGCAAAAAAUUCGCGCCACGGAAAGGUACAAGGUCAAGCUUACGUUCUAGCACAAAAAUGACAGUCAGCGCAUGUAGUAUGACAGAUGAUGGUAAAAGAAAAUGGGACAAAAAACACUUCUGCCUGUAUUGCAAUGAACCACACCACAAAAUUGCAAGACAUUUAGAAAGGAUACACGCCGAAGAAGCAGCUGUCGCUCAUGCUAUGAGCUUCCCUAAACUCUCCAAAAUCAGGUCUCUUUUGCUUGACCAACUCCGUAACAAAGGCAACUAUCAAGUUCUUCAAAGUGGAGAUGGUGAAAUUGUGACUAAGGAUAGACCCUCUUACAAUGGUGUUUCUGUGCGUGACUGCCUGCCCUGCCAACACUGCUUAGCUUUUUUCAACAAAAUAGAUUUAUGGAAGCAUGAGGGCUCAUGUAAAGCCAGAAAAGGACAAGAUGAAAAGAGGGGAGGAAAAAGAGUGCGGGUCCAAGCUGCAUCCUCUCGACUUCUUCCACUGCCUGUCUACUCUACUGGAGGGUGUGAAGAAAUAAUACACAAUAUGAAUCAAGAUGACAUCUUAUGCCACAUCAAAAAUGAUCCCCUGAUAUGUAAAUAUGGCAAUGCACUAUCUGCAAAGCAUGGCCAUGCCAAGUCACAGUUUACAUACAUUGGAUCAAAAAUGAGGGAAUUGGCUAGAUUUGUACUUACUGUAAAUGAGAUGGACUGUGGUGUCCAAUAUCUGCAUGAAGUAUGUGUACCAUCCAAAUUCAAAUUGGCCGUUCAUGCUGCCAGGAAAAUGAGUGGUUUUGAUCCUGCCUCCGACAGGUACAAGACCCAAUCUCUUCCUUUAAAGAUCGGCUAUUCCUUGAAAAGAGCUACUGAAAUAGCUUUUGGGGAGAGUCGUAUGACAGAGGACCGUGAUGCAGAGGCACAAGCCAGAAGGUUCAUUGAGCUUCUUGAAAACGAUUGGAAUAACUGUUUUUCCGGUUUGUCCCUCAGCGCUGUGCCUCAGUGUGAUGAAGUUGAUGUGUCUUCACUAACUGAGGAUUUGAUUAAACUUCAGAAGUUUCUCAAGGUUGCAGAGGACACAGCAAAGAGAGAAUUGCUCGAGAGCCCCACCAACGCUGUCUGGAAAAAGCUCAAUGAAACUCUUCUUGCCGAAAUAGCUCUCUUCAACAGAAAAAGGACAGGAGAGGUUGCGAAAAUGCUGUUGGAAACAUACACAAACAGAAAGAAAUCUCCAGCUAGCGCAGACAUUUUCAAUAGCCUCUCAAGGCUGGAACAGGAGCUUGGUGACGACAAAUUAACCAGGGUGGAAAUAGAAGGUAAAAAUGGUAGAACAAUGCCGGUCCUACUAACGGCGAGGAUGAUCUCAUCUCUUGAGAUCCUAAUUGCAAACCGAGACAAAGUUGGUGUGUCAAAGGACAACCCUUAUGUCUUUGCACGGAGCCCAGAUGCAGCAAGCUACGUCAGAGGGUCUGACUGUUUGAGGAAAUUUGCUCAUGAGUGUGAUGCAAAGAAUCCUGAAAGUCUGAUCCAUGCUACAGUGAGGAAAGAGGUUGCUAUCCAUUGCCAAAUUCUGAACUUAAAUGAAAGUGAAUUGGAUCAGGUGGCAAAAUUAUUGGGACAUGACACCCAGGUCCACAAAGAGUACUACAGACUGUCUGAAAACGCAGCACAUCUAGCAGAAAUCAGCAAAUUGCUGCUUGCAAUGGAUCAGGUUCCAGUGGUAAUUCCAGGACCAUCUGAGGAAAGGAUUGUUUCACCUACAUAUGGGGCAUAUUCUGCAGGGACAUAUUCAGCGGGAACCGAUUCUGCGAGGGCGUAUCCUGCUGGCACAUAUACCACUGGGUCAUCUUAUCCUACAGCGACAUAUUCCGCAAAGUCAUAUACAUUGGGGGCACAGCCUUCAAGGUCAUAUCAUGCUGGGACAUAUCCUGAGAAGUCAUAUCCUUCUGGAUCACAUUCUGCAAGGUCAUAUCAUGCUGGGACAGAUUGUGCAAGGGUGUAUCCUACUGGGAUAAAUCCUGCUAGAUCAUAUUCUGUGACACAUCCUGCAGAGACCUAUCCAGCAGCUUCGUAUGCUGCUGGGACACAUCUUGCAAGUUCAUAUCCUGCAAGUCCUUAUGACCUAUCAUCUCCUGCAAGAUCAUAUACUUCGGGGACAAAUCCUGCAAAAUCAUAUCCUGAAGAGACAUAUCCUAUGGGGACAUAUCGUGCAGGGACACAUCUUGCGGGUUCACAACUUGCAAGGUCAUAUUCUGCCGGAACAUAUCCUGCACAGACACUUCCAGCGCGUACUGUUAUUACGCCAACACUUAAUGCACAGACACUUCCUGUUGGGGCAGUGCCUGCGGUUGCCGUUCCUUUGGGUGCAGUUCCUUUGGGGACAGGUUCUGUGGGGACAGAUAAGGUGGGCACAGUGUGGAAACAGAGGAUGUGGAGUGAUGCAGCUAAGGCUGCGGUGAACCGUCAGAUGGGACACUUUAUCUCAAUGAUGGAGGUUCCAGGUAAACAGGACUGUGAAGUUUGCCUGCACAAUGAACCAGCACUAAGAGACAGGACAUGGAGGGACAUCAAAAACUAUGUGCACAACACAGUAAAAUCUAUAAAACGAAAGAAUGGCCUUACAAGAGUGGACCCCACAAAACAGACAAAGAAAGGAGCAGCAAAGAAACAAAAAGAGGCGAAGCGUGCUAAAGAAUGGGUUGGUGGAACAAUGGCAGUACCUGCAGUGGGUCAAGAAGGCAGACUUGAGGCAGGUCCUGUGGCAACACCAAGGAAACAGAAGAUAUGGAGUAAUGAGGCUCAGGCUGCGGUCAGGCGGCAGCUAGGAGACUUCACUAAACUGAUGAAGAUUCCAGGUAAAAAGGAAUGUGAUGCAUGUCUUGCAGCUGAACCAGCUCUGCAAGGCAGGACAUGGAAAGAUGUAAAAAACUAUGUGCGUAAUACAUUAAUGACAAUGUGCAGGAGGCAUAUUUCAGGCAAACAAAACAUGGACCAUGAAAAACCAAGUCCAAGGACACCGAAACCAGGGGUCCAACAAAAUCCAGGGGUGCAUCAGAAACCAGGGACGCUGUUGGGACUUCCAGAAGAUCCUCCUGUUUAUCUGUAUUUAUGA
ensembl:lncRNA